UCUGGUGUAUUUGGCUGCAAUCGAUAAGUUUGAUGCCAUGUUAUCCAAAAGCAACACUUAUGCUCUAGAAGUGAGUAAAGUUUGACAGGUGUUAUCACCGAGAGAGGGUAAGUUGGCAUGGGAAGAAGAAGAACAUGAAGAAUAUGAAGAAGAAUAAGAAUAUGAAGAAUGUGAA